rnacentral:rRNA from 1 species
AUUGAACGCUGGCGGCAUGCUUUACACAUGCAAGUCGAACGGCAGCACGAAAGAGCUUGCUCUUUUGGUGGCGAGUGGCGAACGGGUGAGUAAUGCAUCGGAACGUACCGAGUAAUGGGGGAUAACUGUCCGAAAGGAUAGCUAAUACCGCAUACGCUUUGAGAAGGAAAGUGGGGGCUCUUCGGACCUCACGUUAUUCGAGCGGCCGAUGUCUGAUUAGCUAGUUGGUGGGGUAAAGGCCUACCAAGGCGACGAUCAGUAGCGGGUCUGAGAGGAUGAUCCGCCACACUGGGACUGAGACACGGCCCAGACUCCUACGGGAGGCAGCAGUGGGGAAUUUUGGACAAUGGGCGCAAGCCUGAUCCAGCCAUGCCGCGUGUCUGAAGAAGGCCUUCGGGUUGUAAAGGACUUUUGUUAGGGAAGAAAAGGAUAGUGUUAAUACCAUUAUCUGCUGACGGUACCUAAAGAAUAAGCACCGGCUAACUACGU